rnacentral:rRNA from 1 species
UACGAAGGGGGCUAGCGUUGCUCGGAAUUACUGGGCGUAAAGGGCGCGUAGGCGGAUAUUUAAGUCGGGGGUGAAAGCCUGUGGCUCAACCACAGAAUGGCCUUCGAUACUGGGACGCUUGAGUAUGGUAGAGGUUGGUGGAACUGCGAGUGUAGAGGUGAAAUUCGUAGAUAUUCGCAAGAACACCGGUGGCGAAGGCGGCCAACUGGACCAUUACUGACGCUGAGGCGCGAAAGCGUGGGGAGCAAACAGG